UCUCAGAUGGUCCAAUGGUCAAGAUUUCCGCCUGUCACGCGGACGAUCGGGGUUCGAUUCCCCGUCUGAGAG